rnacentral:ncRNA from 2 species
AGCUUAUUAAGAAAGACGGAGGGAACUGAACCUAUGAAGUCUUGACAACCUGCCGAAAGGUAAGGUGUUACAUUCAGCCGAAAGGGAAAAUAAGUA